UUGGGCAGAGAUAGUCAGGUUAAUCUUUUACUUCAUGCUAUUGCCUAAAAUCAAACAAUUCUGAUUGACGUAGCUUCAACAAACACCCACACACUGGAGAUGACCAUUUCUGGAGAGUCUAGAAACUCUGUGCAACGCAGACAGGAGGAAAGCUGUCGGGCACAGAGGGAGGGGAGCGAGCAGAGAGUGUCCAACCCAACCUGCAUCAACAACAUCUGGACAUGGUAUGUCUGCCGCUUCUCAGGAAUGACACUGGAGGAAAACCAAGAGUCCCACCCUUGCAGGCUGUGUCUCCCUUUUUCCUGAUCUUUGCCAUCACUCAGUAUGUCAAAACCUCAUGGAAGAUUUCAGGCAAUCUACGUCAAGGUGAUAUUAAUAAUGGUCUACCCAUAAAUCAUUUUGGGAACAAAGCUUGGAGACAGCUCUGGACAGAAGGAUGAAAAUUGGGCCCCUGACGAAAACAAGCAGCUCUUGGGUUUAUAUAAAAAA